GACGAACGCUGGCGGCGUGCCUAAUACAUGCAAGUCGAACGAACCGCGACUGAGUGCUUGCACUUGGUCAAGGUGAGUGGCGAACGGGUGAGUAACACGUGGGUAACCUACCUCAUAGUGGGGGAUAACAGUCGGAAACGACUGCUAAUACCGCAUAGGACAUGGAAUCACAUGAUUCUGUGAGGAAAGGUGGCGCAAGCUAUCGCUAAGAGAUGGACCCGCGGUGCAUUAGCUAGUUGGUAGGGUAAGGGCCUACCAAGGCGAUGAUGCAUAGCCGACCUGAGAGGGUGAUCGGCCACAUUGGGACUGAGACACGGCCUAAACUCCUACGGGAGGCAGCAGUAGGGAAUCUUCCGCAAUGGACGCAAGUCUGACGGAGCAACGCCGCGUGAGUGAAGAAGGUCUUCGGAUCGUAAAGCUCUGUUGUUAGAGAAGAACAGCGCAUAGAGUAACUGUUAUGCGUGUGACGGUAGCUAACCAGAAAGCCACGGCUAACUACGUG
rnacentral:rRNA from 1 species